rnacentral:rRNA from 1 species
CCUACGGGUGGCAGCAGUGAGGAAUAUUGGUCAAUGGGCGCGAGCCUGAACCAGCCAAGUCGCGUGAGGGAAGACGGUCCUAUGGAUUGUAAACCUCUUUUGUCGGGGAGCAAAAGACGCCACGCGUGGCGUUCCGAGAGUACCCGAAGAAAAAGCAUCGGCAAACUCCGUGCCAGCCGCCGCGGUAAUACGGGGGAUGCGAGCGUUAUCCGGAUUUAUUGGGUUAAAAGGGUGCGCAGGCGGAAGUUAAAGUCAGCGGUAAAAUUUAGAGGCCCAACCUCUAAGUGCAGUUGAAACUGGUUGUCUUGAGUGAGCGAGAAGUAGGCGGAAUGCGUGGUGUAGCGGUGAAAUGCAUAGAUAUCACGCAGAACUCCGAUUGCGAAGGCAGCAUACCGGCGCUCAACUGACGCUCAGGCACGAAAGUGUGGGUAUCGAACAGGAUUAGAUACCCUUGUAGUC